UUUUCGAGGGGCAGCAUUACAGUUUGCUUGCAAACUGGAGAUGGCGACCGGCGCACGGGUGAGUAACACGUAUCCAACCUGCCGAUAACUCGGGGAUAGCCUUUCGAAAGAAAGAUUAAUACCCGAUAGUAUAAUGAAACCGCAUGGUCUUAUUAUUAAAGAAUUUCGGUUAUCGAUGGGGAUGCGUUCCAUUAGGCAGUUGGUGAGGUAACGGCUCACCAAACCUUCGAUGGAUAGGGGUUCUGAGAGGAAGGUCCCCCACAUUGGAACUGAGACACGGUCCAAACUCCUACGGGAGGCAGCAGUGAGGAAUAUUGGUCAAUGGGCGCAGGCCUGAACCAGCCAAGUAGCGUGAAGGAUGACUGCCCUAUGGGUUGUAAACUUCUUUUAUAUGGGAAUAAAGUUUUCCACGUGUGGAAUUUUGUAUGUACCAUAUGAAUAAGGAUCGGCUAACUCCGUGCCAGCAGCCGCGGUAAUACGGAGGAUCCGAGCGUUAUCCGGAUUUAUUGGGUUCAAAGGGAGCGUAGGUGGACAGUUAAGUCAGUUGUGAAAGUUUGCGGCUCAACCGUAAAAUUGCAGUUGAUACUGGCUGUCUUGAGUACAGUAGAGGUGGGCGGAAUUCGUGGUGUAGCGGUGAAAUGCUUAGAUAUCACGAAGAACUCCGAUUGCGAAGGCAGCUCACUGGACUGCAACUGACACUGAUGCUCGAAAGUGUGGGUAUCAAACAGGAUUAGAUACCCUGGUAGUCCACACAGUAAACGAUGAAUACUCGCUGUUUGCGAUAUACAGUAA
rnacentral:rRNA from 1 species